rnacentral:rRNA from 1 species
GAUGAACGCUGGCGGCGUGCCUAAUACAUGCAAGUCGAGCGAACAGACGAGGAGCUUGCUCCUCUGACGUUAGCGGCGGACGGGUGAGUAACACGUGGAUAACCUACCUAUAAGACUGGGAUAACUUCGGGAAACCGGAGCUAAUACCGGAUAAUAUAUUGAACCGCAUGGUUCAAUAGUGAAAGACGGUUUUGCUGUCACUUAUAGAUGGAUCCGCGCCGCAUUAGCUAGUUGGUAAGGUAACGGCUUACCAAGGCGACGAUGCGUAGCCGACCUGAGAGGGUGGUCGGCCACACUGGAACUGAGACACGGUCCAGACUCCUACGGGAGGCAGCAGUAGGGAAUCGUCCGCAAUGGGCGAAAGCCUGACGGAGCAACGCCGCGUGAGUGAUGAAGGUCUUCGGAUCGUAAAACUCUGUUAUUAGGGAAGAACAAAUGUGUAAGUAACUAUGCACGUCUUGACGGUACCUAAUCAGAAAGCCACGGCUAACUACGUG